UACAGAGGUCUCGAGCGUUGUUCGGAUUCAUUGGGCGUAAAGGGUGCGUAGGUGGCUAGGUAAGUCGGAUGUGAAAUCCCUGAGCUUAACUCAGGAACUGCCGUGGAUACUAUCAAUCUUGAAUAUCGUUGAGGUAAGCGGAAUAUGUCAUGUAGCGGUGAAAUGCUUAGAUAUGACAUAGAACACCGAUAGCGGAGGCAGCUUACUAAGCGAUUAUUGACACUGAGGCACGAAAAGCGUGGGGGAUCAAACAGG
rnacentral:rRNA from 1 species